rnacentral:rRNA from 1 species
AUUGAACGCUGGCGGCAGGCCUAACACAUGCAAGUCGAGCGAGCGGCGGACGGGUGAGUAAUGUAUGGGGACUGCCAGAUGGAGGGGGAUAACUACUGGAAAAGGUAGCUAAUACCGCCUCCUAUCCGAUAACCCAUAUGGGAUUAGCUAGUAGGUGAGGUAAUGGCUCACCUAGGCGACGAUCCCUAGCUGGUCUGAGAGGAUGAUCAGCCACACUGGGACUGAGACACGGCCCAGACUCCUACGGAGGCAGCAGUGGGGAAUAUUGCACAAUGGGCGCAAGCCUGAUGCAGCCAUUCCGCGCGUAUGAAGAAGGCCUUAGGGUUGUAAAGUACUUUCGGUCGGGAGGCGUUACCGACAGAAGAAGCACCGGCUAACUCCGUGCCAGCAGCCGCGGUAAUUC